UACCUCACAGGUCUUUAUGGAAUUCCCUGCUCCUCCCUUGUAAAAGCUCUGUGCAUCAAUCAGCACUCGAGAAAUUUUUGGUUUUCCACUGUGUUCGGCCAGCUGCAUCCCGUCGACCAUCCCAAGACACCCAAGAUUGUGUCGACCCUUGCACACGCAUUAACCACACUUUCCAGGUCCCCUUCAACAUGAAACAACAUGACAGCUAAUCCUCUUCCUCUAUCCAUCUCGGCCACGCAGGAACAAAUAGUGAUGCCUGCUGCUGCCAAUUCUGUUGUAACCUCG
rnacentral:misc_RNA from 1 species